rnacentral:lncRNA from 1 species
AAUCAAAUGUGUAUAUAUAUGUCCGUACAUCUAGAUCUGAACUUAAAUAAUAGUAGUAUAUGAUAGUAGGGUUUAUACUUGAUGAUAAUUAAAACUGAUUUUUUUAAUGACUAAUUCAAUUUAUUUCAGUUUUAUCGCAAUAAUGAAAAUAUUAGUUAAUAAUAAGUAUUUAAUGUUUUUUAACAAAUUUUGUUGUUUGGUCUGAUGAUGUAAUAAUUUGGAAGUAAG